rnacentral:rRNA from 1 species
UACGUAGGGUCCGAGCGUUGUCCGGAAUUAUUGGGCGUAAAGGGCUCGUAGGCGGUCUGUUGCGUCGGGAGUGAAAACUUACAGCUUAACUGUGAGCGUGCUUCCGAUACGGGCAGACUUGAGGUAUUCAGGGGAGAACGGAAUUCCUGGUGUAGCGGUGAAAUGCGCAGAUAUCAGGAGGAACACCGGUGGCGAAGGCGGAUCUCUGGGCCGUAACUGACGCUGAGGAGCGAAAGCAUGGGGAGCGAACAGG